rnacentral:rRNA from 1 species
CGGGAAAAGCUCAAAUUUAAAAUCUGGCGGCUUUCGUCGUCCGAGUUGUAAUUUAGAGAAGCGUUUUCCGCGCCGGACCGUGUACAAGUCUCCUGGAACGGAGCGUCAUAGAGGGUGAGAAUCCCGUCUUUGACACGGACCACCGGUGCUUUGUGAUACGCUCUCGAA